GGGUAGGAUUCGAGACUCCUUUCGGGGUUACACAGGCUCUCCUACCCAACUCCUAUUCCGUCACGUCCUCGUCGUACAGAGUGG
rnacentral:ribozyme from 1 species